UUAAAUUUUGAUAGUAUUCAUCGAGACAAAUCUAACAAGAUUUCACUUGACUAUGUUUUUUCCUUUAUAUAAUGACGAUAAAUUGGAAUCGAAAUUAAUGGUUUCAUUUCACCCAAUGUUUAAUUUAAAGCAGAACCAAGAAAGCACUACUCCUAUUGGCUAUUACUCCCUCCGAUCUUUAUUAGUUUACCCUUUUUUUUGCAGAGAGUUUUAGGUGAAAUAAUGUUGUGGGUCAUAGAAAAAAAGAAAAACUAAUAUUUUAUAUUAAAGUUGGAUGUAUGUGUGAUGAAAAGUUAGUGGUCUCAUUUCAAAUAGAAACAAAAAAAGGGUAAACUACUAAGUGACAUCCAAAAAAAGAAUAGGAGUAAAUAUUUAAUAUAAAUCCUAAACCAACAAAACAAAACAAAACAAAAAAUAAUUCUAUUCCUCCCUCUCAGCUUUAUCCCCCUAGUUUAUAACGGCUAAUUUUCUUCCUCUCAAACUAAUCAAACUAUCAAAGUAUCCCAACAAUGGCGAUACAAAAUUCAAUUUUUUUUUUUAAAAAAAUAACAUUUCUAUAGUUUGUCUUAUAGAUUGGACUCCCUCAAUUUGACCCCAAAACUCCUCAACAAUGGCGUCGGAAAUCCCUAAACCCCCAAUCUCAACUUCAAUGCCGACAAAUCCUCGACGAUCGCUGGUUCAUAAUCAUUAUUUUCAAUGGAGUUUGAUCGACGAAGAUUGAAGGAAGAUGUUGGAGGAUCAGGUAGCGUAUUUACUGCAAAGGUUUUUGGGGAAUUAUGUCAGAGGUCUCAACAAAGAAGCUCUCAAAAUCAGCGUUUGGAAUGGUUUGAUCAUUUCCUACUUCUUAUCAAUGUUUACUUAUUUCGUUGUUGUUCAAUUUGCGUUUAUUUGAUUUCAAUGUUCGUAGUAAACUUAAUGUGAGGUUUUAGCAGUUAAAUGCUAAUGGUUUCGGAAGGUAAUAAAUAAUAAUGGACUGUGAGAAUUGAAUUUUUACUUUGUCUUUAAAUGGAAAUUGAGGCGCUAGAUUGUGUAA